UCGAUGCUCCUCGAUCUGUACGGUAUGGCGUCGCCGCCGGCCGCCGGUCUUCUUCUCCGGCCGUCAGCGCCCUCUUUUGUCCCCCCUCCAUAUCCGCUCCUAAUCUUCUCCGGCGUCUCCCAUAGCCUCCUCAAUCUCCUACCUCUUGCUCCAGUGUUGUUCUACUCUGAUUUGGAUCGAGUUGGAGUUCGUCUCCAACACAAAACCAUGGAGUGCCCGACCCGGAUUGGACUUGGCGGCCAUAAGAAGGGAUCCUCCACCGCCUGCCUGCCUUGGACCUCCUGGCGUUGUUGCGUCGCGGCUCGACCUGGCCCUUGCCCUAUCUCUCGCCAUCGGCUGCCAGGUCAAAGCCCUCGCCUUGGUGCUCCUUCUCAGCUCCUGGGCCGCCAGCCACGCUCAGCCCUCUAAUCGGCUUCGAUCUGAUGGCCCUACCCCAACCUCCUCGACCUCGACAGAUCCGGGAGGCUGCUGCUCGGUGAGGAAGGAGUGUUGUGAUGUCUGAAGUCCUCUUACUUCCACUAGGUUUCAGGUGUAACCUCUGUAUAAUCUCAACUCAAGCAAGUUUCGGGCAGAAAUUGAGGAGGCUUUCCUACCCCAGCUUGUUUUUCUGAACUCCAAAUAGGAUUAGAAAAUACAGAGUAUUCUUGUCCUGAUUGUAUACAAGAGAAUAAUGAUAGUUGAACCUCGAACGGGCAUAUGUGCUAGAGCGGCGGAAGCUUGUGAAGCCAUGGUCUGUGAUCUGCAGAUAUAUAGUAGGAACAAGUGCGAUUUGGAUUUCUGUCUUAUGUGUCGCUUUGAGAUGAUGAGGACGAGAUAUGGUCUCGCUGCUGUGCGUCAGAACCAUGGCUCGAAUGUGUGUUCCCGCUCUAUCAGACCUGGCCUCUAAGCAUAUCCUUCCAAGCUACGGUGGUGCACAUGCUAGGCUACUCAUUUGGUGCAGCCACCCCCUUCCAACAAAGCAAGUUUUUUCGUUCAGAUUUCACACCUCUUGAGUUCCAGUUUAGUUCAAUAAAGGAAAGCUUUCUCUUCAUGGUUUGCUCCUUAUGAUUCAAGAAGGAAGACCACUAGACACUUUUCUAUAAUUGGGUCCCUAUACCGCCUCCUCAUUUGCACCGUCAAAAAUUGCACAUGGGCUGAUUCAGACUUUCAAGGUUCAGAAAACAGCUUGAAGAGCCAAUCGGUAUGAAGGUGUUGCUCCUUUGUACCAGAUCGUAAAUAAAAGAGGACAUGGUUCAGAUUUGUGACUACUGUGUGCUCUUGGACAGCUGAGGGAGAGGGGAUCAGAACAGGGACGUUGGUGGUGUUCGAGAUGUAUCGGUGGUCAGCCGUUGGCAGGGCCCUCAUGGAGACACUGGACAAGAUGGUGCUCAGUGGUUUGCUCAGCCCCAAGCUUUCCUUAAGUGUCCUCCUGCAGUCCGUCCAUGAGCGGUUGGAGCACCAGGUUAAGAGCAAGGCAUUCUUCAAGUAAUUCAUCUCAUCCAGAAGGUUGAUAGUUUUUUCGGUAAGUCAUCUCAUCCAGUAGCUUGGUGCAUUACUUCGUAAUGAAAAUAAAUCACAUCGCCUUUACCCAAUGAUUUUUGUCCAGAACAAAUCAUAUUAUUUCUUUUCUACGAGUACUAUAUAUGUUGAUUAUUCAGAGGUCUCAUCUUCAUGAGACUUGCAAGGCCGUCGUCAGCAUCACGGCCCGCGGGUGACGGAGGAGCAGGUGCAGCGCGACCUCGCCAUGAACAAGAUUGACUCGAACCACCCGCGUCACCUGCAGCCGGUGGGCGAGCCCGUCGGGCAGCCCGUCACCGUCACUUCGGACGCGUACGAGCCCGUCCGCGAUGCGCACGCCGUCUGCAUCCUGACCGAGUGGGAGGAGUUCAGGAGCAUCGACUGCAGGCGCAUGUACAAUGUGAUGCAGAAGCUGGCUUUCGUCUUCGCCGUCGCAACAUCGUCGACCCGUAGAAGCUCCGAGACAUCGGAUUCAUCGUCUAUGCAAUUGGCAAGCCGCUUGACCAGUGCCCAGUGGCUGAAGGACAUGCCAGCCAUCACCCUAGGCGAUGCACACUAAUAGCAGAGCGUCGACGAGGGUUCUUCUUACUAAUUAAUAACAACACGUGGUUAAAUUUUAAGAGAUUUCUUAUGUUAUAAAAACCGAAACAGAUAUAAGAGGACUUGUCUGUAGAACUUUUUCUUUUCCCCCUCAAGCAGACAAGACAGAAGCAUCCAAAGGAGUCGGUACGGAGAGGGCCUAAGCAAAAGCAGAGGGCAGAUCAACGAGGUAGUACUUGCACUAAUAUGUUUCAUGCGAGCUUAGUGCAUUCUUAUUCUAUUAGUUAAAUUUUAGAUUUGUACAACUAUGUUUCACGAGAGAGGACAUAAUUUUACUUCCUAUUCUCUGUUGGAUUAUUUCCAAAUUACAAGGAUACAAGUGUUCAAAAGUUACCUAAGUGAAACACUGAACAUGUUAGUUUGAUGACCUCC